rnacentral:rRNA from 1 species
GAUGAACGCUGGCGGCGUGCCUAAUACAUGCAAGUCGAGCGAACAGACGAGGAGCUUGCUCCUCUGACGUUAGCGGCGGACGGGUGAGUAACACGUGGAUAACCUACCUAUAAGGCUGGGAUAACUUCGGGAAACCGGAGCUAAUACCGGAUAAUAUAUUGAACCGCAUGGUUCAAUAGUGAAAGACGGUUUUGCUGUCACUUAUAGAUGGAUCCGCGCCGCAUUAGCUAGUUGGUAAGGUAACGGCUUACCAAGGCAACGAUGCGUAGCCGACCUGAGAGGGUGAUCGGCCACACUGGAACUGAGACACGGUCCAGACUCCUACGGGAGGCAGCAGUAGGGAACCUUCCGCAAUGGGCGAAAGCCUGACGGAGCAACGCCGCGUGAGUGAUGAAGGUCUUCGGAUCGUAAAACUCUGUUAUUAGGGAAGAACAAAUGUGUAAGUAACUAUGCACGUCUUGACGGUACCUAAUCAGAAAGCCACGGCUAACUACGUG